CCUGCAUGAAGUUGGAAUUGCUAGUAAUCGCGAAUCAGAAUGUCGCGGUGAAUACGUUCCCGGGCCUUGUACACACCGCCCGUCACACCAUGAGAGUCGAUAACACCCGAAGCCUGUGAGCUAACCUUUAGGAGGCAGCAGUCGAAGGUGGGGUUGAUGAUUGGGGUGAAGUCGUAACAAGGUAAC
rnacentral:rRNA from 1 species